CGUCAGCCUCAAAGGAUGGAAAGGGAAGAAAGCCCUGCAGCCUCUCACUCGCUAGAGUUUUGAAGAAAGCCUUCAGCAACAAGAUGGAAAUUUUACCAGAUGCUAUCGAUGAUGCGUUAACUGAAACACUGCGCCAUGCAGCAAAGAGGGUAAAAGGAGGAUGAAAGAAUUGGUACUGGUGUUAAUGCUGACUCAGAUGCUGGGGUGGAUGAAGCCCUGAGCGACGAUGUGGAUGCCGAUGCCAUGGGCGACGAUGUGGAUGCCGAUGCCAUGGACCAUUGUGUAGUGAAUGAUGACGCCAUGGACGGCAGUGCCAUGAGUGAUGAUGCCACAAUUAGUCAUGGGUCAGAUGAGAAGUGAUUCAUUUUAUACUGAGAACUUAUGCCUCCCCCUCUGUAAGGUGCG